GCAAAUGAAAUAUAUAGCUCGUCCUGCUUAUUUGCUGCGGUGUGCAAUCAUGUAGGAUGUUCAGCAGCUGGACCCGCUGCCUUUCGUCAUUUGGUCAGCCAGAAAAAAGGCAGCAGAAUGACAAAGUGGUGGUGCCUUUCAGCACUGCCGUCUCAUCCGUGGAGUGCGGCACUUCCCGGGAUGCUGGGAUGCUGGGAUGAUGGUGAGCUUCUGCUGACACCUACCGCCAGAGCCGAACGCAGCACAGCAACGCAGGGGAAGGCACCGUCCCUCCCACGGCACUCUUGGCGUGCAGCUUCGGAUUCGGACUGCCGGUGUUGUAUGGAAAGAGGUAAAUACCACCCAUAGUUUUACGGAAUAACUUAUAUAAGGCAGAAAUGGAAAAGGCCCCAGGAUCAAUUUCGUGAGAUUUUUGUUUCGGUUUUGUUUUGUUUUGUUUUGUUGGGGUUUUUUGUUUGGGUUUUUUUGGUGGUUUUUUUGGUUGUUGUUUUUCUCUGAUAAAAUUAGUGAAGGAUAAGAGUAAACUGAAAGUCUCUUUAUGCAUUUUCCGUGAUAGAAGCCAAUGAGUUUAUAACGAGAAAAUACUUUUCAAAGAGAAAAAAAAAUUAUAUUUUUUAAUAGAUGGUACAUCUUCAUUGAUACUGUGAGGGGUUUUACAUCAGAUUCAUGAAAAAGCUGCUCUUCAAAGAAAUUCCUGCCCAGGAGUAGGUACCUGUUUCUUUGGUUUUGCAAACCUGCUUUUCACUUAUUUCAAUACUUAGAAAUCACAUCCAAGACAAGGAAGUGUGGUAGAGGAUGCCACUUACUGGAAGGUUAUUAGUGAAUUGCAAUGAAUUAAUGAACACAAGAGCUGUAGUUGACACCUUGAUAGGUGUAUAAAGGACCAAGAACCUUCUGAGCUAUCAGAAAACUAGAAACUAUUAGAACAUUUGGCUACUGGUGGUAAGGCUGUUUGUGCAUGUUGGGGUAUUAUGCUCAGCUCCGUUGCCAAAGGACAGGGCAGCAAAGCAGUUGGAAGAGUUCAUCUGUUUUCAAUUUGAAUGUUAUUACAUCUAGUUUAAAAACCCUCAGGAGAAAAUUUAAGGAUAGAGUAGAUGUGUUUGUUUUUCUUUUUUUUCAGCUUGUUGAUCCACUCCCACCAUUUGGAUUCGUGUAUCACGUUCUCUCCUCUGUCUUCAACUCUGAAAACCACACGCUCUCAACUUGUGAAAUACUUCCAAAUUUGAAGCAUAAUCGCAAGCCAGGCAUCACUGCUAUGUGCUCUCUGUCAUUGGAAGGCAGUAGAAGAGGGAUAUGGAAGUUAUUCAGUUGGAUGCAUGCAGGACACGAGUUACCAGCCCAGGUCCCCAGGAUAAGUCAGAACACUGCUGGGCUGCACGCUGCCUCUGAGGACCAGAAGGUGAGGAAGCCUGUGACCAACACCCCUCUGGAAUACCACAGCUGGAAGCUUCUGUCAUUGCUCUUCCAAAGAAGCAAGUGCCUCUGAAAAAUAAUUACUUUGACCUGGGAAUGACCCAUUUCCUGAGGGUAAAUGACAAAGAAGAGACAGAAUAGCACUGGGUGAAGACCAAACUGAAAUUUUUAUGUCUUCCAUCCUGGGCCUGAAAUGAAUGCCUGGUAUUUUGACUGUCAGUGCUUGGUUCUCAUCAACAAAGUGGCAUGAGUUCAGGUAUGUCCUGUUGCUGACAAUUAGUCACUCUUCUGACCCAUUACAAAUAGAUUUAACUUUGUAAUCACUGUGAUCUUCAAUCCUACUUUCUUAACUGUGAUGUUGUUUGCCUGUGAAAAUAGCAUGGCUCUUGCCAUGAUCUCUGGUAGGUGUCAUUGCUACACUCUGCAGGGUACUUACUAACAAGGCAGACACUGUAUUUCCUGAAUUUUCCUUUAAGACUGCUUAAAGAUUUAGUUACUUGUGUAAUCUGUAUUCAGUGAUACAACACAGAACUUCCUUAUCCUGUUUGCCAGAUACAGUGUAUAAAGCUUGUAAAUAAAGAUGCAUUUAAUUUGCAUAAAUUAUUUGUUUGCCGGAGAAUUGUGAUUUUUAUCAAAGAUUCUGUAAUGACAGUUUAUUGUUGCAGAAAUUGCUUGGGCAAUCAAUCAAGAUCAUAAGUCUGCAUACAGCUGGAAAACUUAUAAAUAUAAUUCAUCAAAAAAUCCAUGUUAAUUAGGGUCAAGCCACCAUGAAAGAUAGAUUCCUCUACUGAAUAUAAUUUAUUAGUGAAAGUAAUGUAAGGAAUAGAAAGGAGAAAUGUUUCUGACUUUAGAGUCAGAGUGUUUUCAUAAAAACAUCUGGUUGGAGAAGUAAACAAAACAUCGUAAGUUCCAUUGGCUUUGACAGUACAAGUGAAUUAUUUCACCAGGGUGCUCCCUAUUAUUGACUACAAAGUGCUAUUAAACAGUAACAGAAAUGUUUAUUUGCCAUAUGUGAAAAAUUGGAUUGCUCCAGAGGCCAGCGAUGUUACGGAAAAAUUCUUUUGACAUUUCUUCAAAAUGCAGGCCGGGUUAGCACAGGAUUGUCACCGGACGAUGCCCUGAAUGGUGCCCAUUCUCAGUAGCUGCCACACAGUUUCACAGAGGACAGAGGCUUCCCUAUUUGCAUUUUUACUGCGUUCCUGCUACUUAUGAAGGGGAGACUAAGGAAUGAAUGGGCACAGACUGCUGAUUUAUCCCCAAGUACAAGGCACAUUGGCAGGAUUGUGGAGCUGGUGAUGCUGCUACCUUACUGUCAUACACAUUAAAAAGUAUUAGUAGCAGGCAAGAAUAAAAAUCUGUCUCAUAAUUUUCAUUGUUUCUUCUUCAAACCUGCUACAUAUUUUAAAAGAUCAGAUAAAAAAUGACACUGUGGAAUGCAUGCAUUACACAUUUACACACACACAUAUUUUCUGUGCUUGACAAAUUACUGAAGCUGAAAGGGAAUGAGCAUGCACAGCUCAGCUGCUGUCACUGGAAGGUGGCAGUGCUCAGUCUGUCACAGGGCCAGGCCCGGAGCCAUAUUUUCUCUAAAGCUUGUGAUAAAGCACAGAAACAGAUUUUUUUCUGUAUGUAUUAAUCAUCUGAAUCUUUAUAAUUUAAAUGUCAGACGCAUAAAUUACUUUUCAUGGAAUAAUGACAAUGAAACAUGCCCUUUGUAUUGGAAAGUACAAGUACAAUGCUAUCUCUCUGAUACAAUUAUAUGAUUUCUAUUCUAAUUUUAGAUCACUUGAGUGACUAUAGAAUAGGUGAGGCCUUGGGAUGUAAAUUCCAGAUGUUUGGUAGAAUAAGGGUGAUGGAGGAGGGAGGAAGUGGUCUUUUUUUUUUGCCCUUGUGUUCACAGGGGUAGGUCACUGGUGCUCGGAAAUAACCCUGUGAGGUUCCAGCUUGUCAGCUUUUGUUUCCUCUAAUUUAAGAAUAAAUCUCUAUCUGGAAUAGUUUUCAGAGAGCUUAUUUCCUCCAUUUGCUAACAGUAUCCCUCCUUGAGUUCCUCACACGAAUACACUGCCAGCCCACUGUAAUUAGGUUGGAAGUUGUGAACAUUAUUCCAUUUCACUUUGGCAAAAGUACCAUUUCAGACGGCCACUGGAGAUAACGUAAGCGCCAGCUCCGUUCCCUCAUUAUCUCCUUGCGUAGCACCAGCUGGAGGGAUCACUCGUGUUAACAGCUUGCUCUCGCGUCUCCUUGAGCCUUGUCUUGUCGCUAUCAGCAGCCCGCAGCCGGGGAACACCUCGGCUCGAUAGCUCACCCCCGGGACGGGCAGCCCGGCGCGGCUCCCGGGGAACCGAGACCCCGGCACGGGGGUGCUGAGCUCCAGGCACCCGGGGAGCUCCAAGGGCGGCCCCGGCGCGGCUCCCGGGGAACCGAGACCCCGGCACGGGGGUGCUGAGCUCCAGGCACCCGGGGAGCUCCAAGGGCGGCCCCGGCGCGGCUCCCGGGGAACCGAGACCCCGGCACGGGGGUGCUGAGCUCCAGACACCCGGGGAGCUCCAGGGGCGGCCCCGGCGCGGCUCCCGGGGAACCGAGACCCCGGCACGGGGGUGCUGAGCUCCAGGCACCCGGGGAGCUCCAAGGGCGGCCCCGGCGCGGCUCCCGGGGAACCGAGACCCCGGCACGGGGGUGCUGAGCUCCAGACACCCGGGGAGCUCCAGGGGCGGCCCCGGCGCGGCUCCCGGGGAACCGAGACCCCGGCACGGGGGUGCUGAGCUCCAGGCACCCGGGGAGCUCCAAGGGCGGCCCCGGCGCGGCUCCCGGGGAACCGAGACCCCGGCACGGGGGUGCUGAGCUCCAGGCACCCGGGGAGCUCCAAGGGCGGCCCCGGCGCGGCUCCCGGGGAACCGAGACCCCGGCACGGGGGUGCUGAGCUCCAGGCACCCGGGGAGCUCCAAGGGCGGCCCCGGCGCGGCUCCCGGGGAACCGAGACCCCGGCACGGGGGUGCUGAGCUCCAGGCACCCGGGGAGCUCCAAGGGCGGCCCCGGCGCGGCUCCCGGGGAACCGAGACCCCGGCACGGGGGUGCUGAGCUCCAGGCACCCGGGGAGCUCCAAGGGCGGCCCCGGCGCGGCUCCCGGGGAACCGAGACCCCGGCACGGGGGUGCUGAGCUCCAGGCACCCGGGGAGCUCCAAGGGCGGCCCCGGCGCGGCUCCCGGGGAACCGAGACCCCGGCACGGGGGUGCUGAGCUCCAGGCACCCGGGGAGCUCCAAGGGC
ensembl:lncRNA